rnacentral:rRNA from 1 species
UACGUAGGGUGCAAGCGUUAAUCGGAAUUACUGGGCGUAAAGCGUGCGCAGGCGGUGAUGUAAGACAGGUGUGAAAUCCCCGGGCUCAACCUGGGAACUGCAUCUGUGACUGCAUCGCUGGAGUACGGCAGAGGGGGAUGGAAUUCCGCGUGUAGCAGUGAAAUGCGUAGAUAUGCGGAGGAACACCGAUGGCGAAGGCAAUCCCCUGGGCCUGUACUGACGCUCAUGCACGAAAGCGUGGGGAGCAAACAGG